rnacentral:lncRNA from 1 species
AGGGAGAUUAGAUUGCAGAGUGGAUUGUUUACUUGCCUUUGCCUCCUGGAUUUUCAUUCUUUUCUUUUAUCUCUGCAGCCUUGAGGAUUUAUCGGCACCCAUUUCAUUUGUCUUUCUCCAGAUUUAAAAUUGAGGUGAUGAGAUGGAAUAUUACCUGUGUGCUUCGGAACAUCCAUGACUGACGUGUGAUAGUUGCCCGGGAAACUAGAGAUGAAAUUCCACAGGACUUUGAGAUGCUUUACAUUUGAGAAGAAGGUUCAGCUCAAGUUUAAACAGCAUCUUGACAAAAAUUACAAAGAAUUACCUCCACUGGCUGGAAUGGUAGGAUGA